rnacentral:piRNA from 1 species
UGAUUGUCACAGGGUUGGUGGCCAUC